GUGGCAUGGCUCAGUGGUUAGAGCACUGGCUGCUGCUCUUCUAGAGGAUCCUGGUUCGAUUCCCAGCAGCCACA
rnacentral:tRNA from 1 species